rnacentral:misc_RNA from 1 species
UGCGGAAGGAUCAUUACCUAGAGUUUGUAGACUUCGGUCUGCUACCUCUUACCCAUGUCUUUUGAGUACCUUCGUUUCCUCGGCGGGUCCGCCCGCCGAUUGGACAACAUUCAAACCCUUUGCAGUUGCAAUCAGCGUCUGAAAAAACAUAAUAGUUACAACUUUCAACAACGGAUCUCUUGGUUCUGGCA